GACGACUUGGCCGAGUGGUUAAGGCGCUGUGUUUAGGCCAUCGAAAGAUAACCUUGAAUCCGCAGUCAUUCGUGGCGGGGGUUCGAAUCCCCCAGUCGUCA
rfam:Phialocephala scopiformis strain CBS 120377 unplaced genomic scaffold LY89scaffold_2, whole genome shotgun sequence.